rnacentral:tRNA from 1 species
CUCCGGUUUGGCCGGGUCGUCGAGCUUGAACUUACGGUUCGCGGCGAGCAGCCGGACCUUGCCGUUGCCCGGUUCGAUACCGGCCAGGAGC